rnacentral:snRNA from 1 species
UUGCUUGCUUCUGUAGCACAUAUACUAAAAUCAGAACGAUGCAGGGAAGAUUGGCACGGCCUCCGUGUGAGAUGACAUGUAAAUUCGUGAAUCAUUCCAUAUUAAA